UUUGGUUUGUUGCGGGUGGUUGGCUGUCUGCUUGUGCAGCAACGUCCACGCGUGCAUACCUCUUCAGUUGUUCUGCAUGGCUUGAUUGCCUUGUGCAUUUUGUGGGUUUCUUGUGUUGCAUACCUAAUCGAAGGCAUCGUAUGGAUUGAUCGAAGUCCUUUUUUGUCGUGCUAUGCUCAAGCAUAGCGUGAUGAACCUCGAAGCGGUCUCUGUUGUCCAUGUCUUCGAUGCUCAUGCAUCGGUGACCUGGCCCAUGGAGUGUUGCUUGGUCUCUUGGAUACGGAACCUGAUGUGGGCAUGGGGUCUUGUAUGAGAUCCUGCAUUUGCCCUCGUUGAGCGUUCUCGCUUCUCAAAAACGACCGCCCGUUGCGACUCGGCUUGUCCGUGYGUGGUGGGCUAUGUCGAUGA
rnacentral:misc_RNA from 1 species